rnacentral:rRNA from 1 species
GACAGAGGGUGCAAACGUUGUUCGGAUUUACUGGGCGUAAAGCGUGCGUAGGCGGUUCGCUGUGUCCGAUGUGAAAGCCCCGGGCUUAACCUGGGAAUGGCAUUGGAAACUGGCGGGCUUGAGUGUGGCAGAGGGGGUGGAAUUCCGCGUGUAGCAGUGAAAUGCGUAGAGAUGCGGAGGAACACCGAUGGCGAAGGCAGCCCCCUGGGUUAACACUGACGCUCAGGCACGAAAGCGUGGGGAGCAACAG